CGAAGUAUCCCAAUUCAACAUUGACUUAUUAUUCAAUGAGAAUAAAAAUGUAUUUGAAAUUGAUUGUGUUUUUUAUCGUAGUAGUCACUUUGGUUCAUGCUAUUAUUGGUGAUAAAGAAUGGAACAGCUACAAGCAAAAAUUCAACAAACACUACAACAACCCUCAAGAUGAUGAUCAUCAUCGUUCAACUUAUGAAAAGAACUGUCAUGACAUCAACGAACACAAUAAGAGAUACGAUGCAGGAAAAGAAACCUGGAAAAAGGAUGUGAAUCAAUUCACCGACUUGACAGAGAAAGAGAGCAAGUGGUCACGUGGGUACGGACCAAUACACUGAUCGAUAUUUCUGAAACUAGUUUUAUAUAAUAGUUAUUUACUAUGUAAUACCAGAUUUUUUUGGAAGUAUAUGAUUUGCAGAUAUAUAAUGGUGACAUAUAUUGAACUAGUACUAAAUUAUCAAUAAAAAAUAAGAUACUGUCUGUAAUACUUAA